rnacentral:rRNA from 1 species
CUUCCGCAAUGGGCGAAAGCCUGACGGAGCAACGCCGCGUGAGUGAUGAAGGUCUUCGGAUCGUAAAGCUCUGUUGUUAGGGAAGAACAAAUGUGUAAGUAACUGUGCACAUCUUGACGGUACCUAACCAGAAAGCCACGGCUAACUACGUGCCAGCAGCCGCGGUAAUACGUAGGUGGCAAGCGUUAUCCGGAAUUAUUGGGCGUAAAGCGCGCGUAGGCGGUUUUUUAAGUCUGAUGUGAAAGCCCACGGCUCAACCGUGGAGGGUCAUUGGAAACUGGAAAACUUGAGUGCAGAAGAGGAAAGUGGAAUUCCAUGUGUAGCGGUGAAAUGCGCAGAGAUAUGGAGGAACACCAGUGGCGAAGGCGGCUUUCUGGUCUGCAACUGACGCUGAUGUGCGAAAGCGUGGGGAUCAAACAGGAUUAGAUACCCUGGUAGUCCACGCCGUAAACGAUGAGUGCUAAGUGUUAGGG